rnacentral:misc_RNA from 1 species
UUUCCGUAGGUGAACCUGCGGAAGGAUCAUUAUUGUAUAACCGAGGUGCGAGGGCUGUCGAUGACCCGAAAGGACUUGUACGCCCUGGUGCCCUCACACACAUCCAUCUCACCCCUAUGCGCACUAACGCGUGGGUCCUCAUUUGGCUGGUUCGGUGGGGGGCUCACGUUUACUCGCAUACUUUGUAUGUUGUCUAGUAUGUAUUUUUUGUUUUUGCGCUCACGCAAUAAAUUAUACUUUCAACAACGGAUUUCUUGGCUCUCGUAUGGAUGAAGAACG